AACGAACGCUGGCGGCAGGCCUAACACAUGCAAGUCGAGCGAAGCCUUCGGGCUUAGCGGCGGACGGGUGAGUAACGCGUGGGAACGUGCCCUUUGGUACGGAAUAGCCCCGGGAAACUGGGAGUAAUACCGUAUGUGGUCGAGAGACGAAAGAUUUAUCGCCAAAGGAUCGGUCCGCGUUGGAUUAGGUAGUUGGUGGGGUAAUGGCCUACCAAGCCGACGAUCCAUAGAUGGUUUGAGAGGAUGAUCAGCCACACUGGGACUGAGACACGGCCCAGACUCCGACGGGAGGCAGCAGUCGGGAAUAUUAGACAAUGGGGGAAACCCUGACGCAGCAACGCCGCGUGAACGAUGAAGCCCUUCGGGGUGUAAAGUUCUGUCAGUGGGGACGAAUUAUGACGGUACCCACAGAGGAAGCACCGGCUAACUCCGUGCCAGCCGCCGCAGUAAAAC
rnacentral:rRNA from 1 species